rnacentral:rRNA from 1 species
AGGAAUAUUGGUCAAUGGGCGCGAGCCUGAACCAGCCAAGUAGCGUGAAGGAUGAAGGUCCUAUGGAUUGUAAACUUCUUUUAUACGGGAAUAAAGUGGUCCACGUGUGGGCUUUUGCAUGUACCGUAUGAAUAAGCAUCGGCUAACUCCGUGCCAGCAGCCGCGGUAAUACGGAGGAUGCGAGCGUUAUCCGGAUUUAUUGGGUUUAAAGGGAGCGCAGACGGGGGAUUAAGUCAGUUGUGAAAGUUUGCGGCUCAACCGUAAAAUUGCAGUUGAUACUGGUUCCCUUGAGUGCAGUUGAGGCAGGCGGAAUUCGUGGUGUAGCGGUGAAAUGCAUAGAUAUCACGAAGAACCCCGAUUGCGAAGGCAGCCUGCUAAGCUGUAACUGACGUUGAGGCUCGAAAGUGUGGGUAUCAAACAGGAUUAGAUACCCUGGUAGUCCACACGGUAAACGAUGGAUACUCGCUGUUGGCGAUAUACUGUCAGCGGCCAAGCGAAAGCAUUAAGUAUCCCACCUGGGGAGUACGCCGGCAACGGUGAAACUCAAAGGAAUUGACGGGGGCCCGCACAAGCGGAGGAACAUGUGGUUUAAUUCGAUGAUACGCGAGGAACCUUACCCGGGCUUAAAUUGCAGACGAAUUACUUGGAAACAGGUAAGCCGCAAGGCGUCUGUGAAGGUGCUGCAUGGUUGUCGUCAGCUCGUGCCGUGAGGUGUCGGCUUAAGUGCCAUAACGAGCGCAACCCUCGUGGCCAGUUACUAGCAGGUAACGCUGAGGACUCUGGCCAGACUGCCAUCGCAAGAUGCGAGGAAGGUGGGGAUGACGUCAAAUCAGCACGGCCCUUACGUCCGGGGCUACACACGUGUUACAAUGGGAGGUACAGAAGGCAGCUACCCGGCGACGGGAUGCCAAUCUCCAAAGCCUCUCUCAGUUCGGACUGGAGUCUGCAACCCAACUCCACGAAGCUGGAUUCGCUAGUAAUCGCGCAUCAGCCACGGCGCGGUGAAUACGUUCCCG